rfam:Chlorocebus sabaeus isolate 1994-021 chromosome 18, whole genome shotgun sequence.
AAACAGGCUUCUUUUGAAGCCAACUCUUAAAGGUGUAGAAAAUGAU